CCUACGGGAGGCUGCAGUCGAGAAUCAUUCACAAUGGGGGAAACCCUGAUGGUGCGACGCCGCGUGGGGGAAUGAAGGUCUUCGGAUGGUAAACCCCUGUCAUGUGGGAGCAAAUUAAAAAGAUAGUACCACAAGAGGAAGAGCCGGCUAACUCUGUGCCAGCAGCCGCGGUAAUACAGAGGUCUCAAGCGUUGUUCGGAAUCACUGGGCGUAAAGCGUGCGUAGGCUGUUUCGUAAGUCGUGUGUGAAAGGCGCGGGCUCAACCCGCGGACGGCACAUGAUACUGCGAGACUAGAGUAAUGGAGGGGGAACCGGAAUUCUCGGUGUAGCAGUGAAAUGCGUAGAUAUCGAGAGGAACACUCGUGGCGAAGGCGGGUUCCUGGACAUUAACUGACGCUGAGGCACGAAGGCCAGGGGAGCGAAAGGGAUUAGAUACCCGUGUAGUC
rnacentral:rRNA from 1 species